rnacentral:lncRNA from 1 species
UACAAGUCUAUAGUAUUUUGUGUUAACAUAACAUUAAUUAUUUUGGUCGGAGUUUGAUCAGGUUUACCUGGCCCAACUGGUUUAAAAGAAAAGUUCACCAAGAUUGAUAAUGAAAAGCACAUCAAAGAAGUAGAGGUAGUUGAAGGGGGAUGCUUAGAUCUUGGAUUCACACUAUUUAGAGUUCGUAUGGAAGUGAUAGAGAAAGGUAAAGAUUCAAGCAUAAUCAAAACUACAUUAGAGUAUGAAGUCAAGGAAGAGGAAGCAGCCAAUGUCGCACUUGCUUCCAUCCAACAAUUGGCAGAGAUUGUAGAAGUUGGCAAGAAUUACCUCAACAGAAACAAGGAUGCAAAAGAAGUAAAGUAGUAAUUUAUGUGCUUCAAAACUAAACUAGAGAAAACAAAAACUUAUGGCUUAGGUCAUGAAUAAAAUGAUGAAAGUUGCUUUGCUACCAAGAUUUUGUUUCAUUAAUUCACAUCAUCGUGUAUUUUUUUUUUCCUUUUGUGCCAAAGUAUCAAACCUAGGUCGCCAAGAUUAAAGAACAUAUUUUCAACCUAGUGAUUCUAGGAUAAAUCGACAUGUACUAUUUCUCAAAUGAUUUGAAGUAUACUCUCAAGGUUGUGUAAUAAUGUUAAUUAUAGUGGAAAAUCCUUCAAGAUGUUAAGAAACUAGACGUAGCUAUCAACGUAUCAAGCGCUAUGAAGCAUGAGAAAAAGCGCUAUGAACCAAGAGAAAAAAAAUGUUUUAGAUAUUUGUUUGAGUUGUCCAACACAUCUCGUAUGAGUGUUAUACAGGGUCAGACACCGAUCGUAGGAGUGUCGAAGUAAAGAAAAAAACAAUUAUUUACGAUACCGAUUCAACACAUAUUGUACGGAUGUCAUAGGAGCGUCAAACACCACGACACGCCUAGUUCUAGAGGUGUCCGUGCUUCUUAGAUCAAGCGUGGUAAACUAGUAUAAACCCUUAAUUUGUGCAAUUUCUCUUUCCUUAAAUUCGUUCGAUCUGAUAUAGAAAAACUUUAUUCAAUAUCAUCUUUUGAAGAAGUAUUUUCAACUAAGUUUUUAAAAAGGUUUUUAAAUAAAUGUUUGCGAUAUUAUUUUAAAGAACACAAUUCAAACCUCUCUUUAUUUUCUUGCAUAGCUUCAUCGUCCACCAUAUUAAAUGUCUAUUUGAAGACUAUUCUAUUUAUUUAUUAUAUUCCACAAGCACCAAAUUAUAGAAUUUACCUUCUUUGAAGACUUCCCACCAAUCAAAGAGCCAAAGUGUAUAAAAUGUUGUUGAACAUCAUUAGAGAAUACCACUCUUACCUCCACCCACUUAUAAACCUCAAUACACACUAGAAUAGUAGAGAAAUGACAUGAUAAAAACAAAUCAUUUAUAUCUUCUCUCUCACUAGAGCACAUCACACAUGAAGUUUCAAUGUUGGAAUCAAUUAUACCUCUGCACGACGUCAGUCUAGUUUGGAUCAAUGGAAUGUAGUUGAUUUAUUGCAUUCGAAUUUCAAACACACUUUUUGUCAAACGUUUCCUACAGCCUGGGCCUUGUAACAUCCAAACAACUUUUAAGUAUUGUUGACUGACUUCAGAAACCAACAUGUGUUUUUUCAGCCCAAAAUUGUUUUAAGUCAAACACUCUUAAUUGUGCUUAUGGAAUGGACUACCGGAAACAAAUGCAUCUUAUUGGCAUAGAUGGUAGCAAACAAUUCUUAUAAUCUUCCCCCAACCACAUACCUAUCCGGUGUCGGGAUCUCUCCCAUUACAACAAAAUUAAACCCGCCUUGUGCACCGGCCCGUCCUCAUUGGUCUCGGGCGUUAAAGGCCAAGAACAUGUUGUGGACUGAUGGAUUCAAACAAAAAGUUGGCGCCAGGUUCUGAUUUAUUUGACCCUAUUUCACCCAAGCAGCCUACAUGUGAUAAUUUGGUAAUUUGGUGAAAAUGUCAAAAUAAUAUCCCUGAGAUUUCUUUGGCCGGCCAAGAUAAUUGUUCAACUAACUUAUAUGAAAGGACAAAUAGAUAUUGUAAUGAAGAGAGUGUGUUUGCACAUGUAAAAAGAUUGAAAGGUCCGAAAAAGUUAAAACUAAAUUGAAAAAAGGGAAAAGGCGCCCAUAUAUUAAGUUUUCAAGAGAACUUUGCCGAGGAGCACUAAGAAGCAAAGGAAGAUUUGGAGAUUGUUAAGAUGUUGGGUCUUUACGUAGAGACAAAGGAUAAAGCAAUUUAUCUAAUUUUGUUAGGUUGGUGAUUGUUGUCUCUUUUUUUAGCUGUUUUUUUUACUUUUCCGUCAUCAAAUUCAAGUGUUUUUGGUCGUCUAGAAGAGUGACGGAGCCGGAAGUUUUAGAUUGUGGGGGCAAUAUUCAUAUACCGUAAGUUUGUAACACUAAAAUUACUAUUUUACCAAAAAAUGGAAACUUAUUAUUUGUGUUUCUUUAAGAUGAAAGUAAAAUAAACAUCUACAAUUAUACUUUCUCUGAUCUUUUUUUAUAAAAAAACAAAAGUGUCAAUAUUUUUUUUUUCUUUUAUCAAGAACAUUGUCAAACUUUCAAAUGUGUUAUAAGCUAAUUUCACUUGUGUUCUUAUUUAUUACUGGGAGAGAAUAUUAAAAGUAAGUUAGUUAUUAGAAUUAAGAGUAAUUAAGAUAGCAGUAUCAAGCCCACAAGUCCUAGGUCAAUUGACAAAAAAAAAUGCUUAUAACAAAAAAAAAAAAUAGGGAUGACUCUUGUCGAACCCCGACUCAUUUACUUGUUUGUGCGAUGACUUGUCAUUUCAUCUAUCAAUAAAAAAAAAUAGGGAUAUCCAUGGAAUCAGUUUAAAUUUAUGAGUAUUAAAUGAAAAUAGCUAUUUUCAAUAUUUUUCAUUGGUCUUGAUGGUUUAUGUAUUUUGUUUCUUAUAAAAAGAGGCAGAAGGAAUAAAUAAAUGAAAGAGAAGCAAAUAUACUCUUACAAAACUACUCUUAUCAAAUAUUAAUGUAUACAAAGUAGAAAUUAUUGACUUAAGAAUAAUUCAACUAGUAGGGUACAAUCAUAAAAACUAAUUAAAAUUGUAUUGAAAUAUUUUGAUUCGUAAAUGAGAUAUUAAAUAAUUGGACUAAUUUUAGUUUGGUAAGAUGAGUAUUUUCUUUUACCUAGUAAUGGGGGCAUAUAGUUGUUUUAACACCAUUCUAUACUAAAUUGAAAUUAAUAGUGUAGGCACAUGCCCACAUAAGGGUGUAAGUGGCUCCGCCUCGGUCUAGAAGAAGAUUUCUAAUACUCGCUGUUCUAUUUUAACGGAGUCUUUUGUUCAUUUCACAUAUAUUAAGAUAAAAAAUGUAUAAGUGAAAGAGAGAAAAAAAUAGAUUUGAGUGUCUUGUCAAGUAUUGAUGCAUUCUUUCAUAUCAUAAAUAUAAAGUUGAAUAUAUUGAAUUGAAAGUGAAAAAAAUAGUAUUAAUUAAAGUUAUAAUUGAAUAAAAAUUUAUUAUUAUAUUAAAAAGUGAAAUGAAUCAAUUUUUGUAAAACAAUAUUUUUUUUCAAUGAGUAAGUUAUUAUAGGAUGGAGAAGGUAACUGUUUUUUGGUUGACCUUUGUAUUGUGCCUCCUUUUGAUCAGACCAUUUCAAUAAACUUCUAUUUAUCGGAAAUAAAAAAAGUUGUUAAACGGCAAAACCCAGAGCGGCAGAGCAUAAUGAGCAUUGAGACAUGUAUUUAUGUACUAUGCAUGUGACGUAUAUUAAUAUUCUUUUUUUUGUAAAAAAUAAUAAUAAAAAUAAAGGAAUAUUCUUCAAUCAUUCAAUAAAGAUAUUAAAGAUGAGACAUCAAUAGAACAAAAAGGACAAAAGAUGGUCCUAAAUUAAACGGUCUCAUUGGACUCAACGUAAGGAUGUAAUAAUCCCAAAUAUAUUAUGGGGUUAGUAUUUCAUAUACCAUACAUUGAUAUAUUAGCAAUAACACAGUCCAUAUUUUAAAACUCAAAAGAGUAAAUUUUUUGUGGAAAAGAAAGAAGAUGUCUGGUCAACUUGAGCAUGAAUUAGAGCUGAAUGUACCAGCAAGUGAAGCAUGGGAUCUCUUUGGCACCAUUGGUAUUGGAAAACUCGUUGAGGCAGAGAUGCCUGAAUUGUUUCAGAAGGUGGAGCUGAUUGAAGGAGAUGGAGGGGUUGGAACUAUUCUCAAACUCACAUUCACUCCAGGUCAUUCAUAUUCAUAUAUUAUUUAUGUAUUAUUUUUUACAGUUAGCCUAACACAACCAUACAUAAAAACCUAUAAUACUUAUAUAGAUCUUUCUAAGAUAGAUGACACUUAUUCUAUGUAAAAGACUUUUAAAGUAGAGUCUUUGUCUCCACGACUUGUAACUAGAAGUUGAGAAUUGAAGUUACGUCUUCUAAUGUGAUCUGUAGUUCAAAUUCGUUCAAACUAUUUACAUAAAUGUUUAUAGAUGAGUGUUUCCAAGCAUAAAUGAGAGAAAAUGAUGAUUGAGAAAGGGUGGGCACGAUUAGGUUGACACCACUCUAAUUAGAUUGACACUCUUUCAAAUCAACAACCGCAUCCCAAAGAAAAUAUAUUAAUAAUAAAAGGAAACAAAUAACUAAAUACAAAUCUAAAGGUAUUUUGUGUUAACAUAACCCCUCCUAUAAAAAAAAAACAGAAUUAAGUGUUAAACUAACAUUGAUUGUUUUGAUUGGAGUUUGAACAGGUACACCUGGCCCAGCCAGUUACAAAGAGAAAUUCACCAAAAUUGAUAAUGAAAAGCUUAUCAAAGAAACCGAGGUAGUUGAAGGUGGAUACUUAGAAUUUGGAUUCACACUAUUUAGAGUUCGUUUUGAAAUAAUUGAGAAAGGUGAAGAAUAUUCAAGCAUAAUCAAAACUACAAUAGAGUAUGAAAUCAAGGAAGAGCAUGCAGCCAAUGCCUCAUUUGUUUCCAUUGAGCCAUUGGCUAACAUUAUGGAAGUUGCCAAGAAUUACCUCAACAGAAACAAGGCUUCAAAAGAAGCAAAGUAAUAAUCAUCUACUUCAAAAUAAGACUAGAGAAAGGAAAAUCAGUUUGUGACAUUGUUUAGUUCAU